GACGAACGCUGGCGGCGUGCUUAACACAUGCAAGUCGAGCGGUAAGGCCCUUUCGGGGGUACGACGAGCGGCGAACGGGUGAGUAACACGUGGGUGACCUGCCCUCAGCUCUGGGAUAAGCCCGGGAAACUGGGUCUAAUACCGGAUAUGACUCCAUGACGCAUGUUGUGGGGUGGAAAGCCUUGUGCGGCUGAGGAUGGGCCCGCGGCCUAUCAGCUUGUUGGUGGGGUGAUGGCCUACCAAGGCGACGACGGGUAGCCGGCCUGAGAGGGCGACCGGCCACACUGGGGACUGAGAUACGGCCCAGACUCCUACGGGAGGCAGCAGUGGGGAAUCUUGCGCAAUGGGCGAAAGCCUGACGCAGCGACGCCGCGUGAGGGAUGACGGCCUGGUGUAA
rnacentral:rRNA from 1 species